AGAGAUAGAAAGUUACUUCGGUUACAUCGGUGAGAGGUGGUGCAUGGCCGUCGUCAGUUCGUACUGUGAAGCAUCCUGUAAGUCAGGCAACGAGCAAGACCCACGCCCACAGUUGCCAGCGUACUCUCUGGAGUGACGGGUACACUGUGGGACCGCCGCUGCUAAAGCGGAGGAAGGAAUGGGCAACGGUAGGUCAGUAUGCCCCGAAUAUCCCGGGCUACACGCGAGCUACAAUGGUUGGUACAAUGGGUAUCUACCCCGAAAGGGGACGGGAAUCUCCUAAAACCAAUCUUAGUUCGGAUUGAGGGCUGCAACUCGCCCUCAUGAAGCUGGAAUCCGUAGUAAUCGCGUUUCAACAGAACGCGGUGAAUACGUCCCUGCUCCUU
rnacentral:rRNA from 1 species